rnacentral:rRNA from 1 species
GACGUAGGAUGCAAGCGUUGUCCGGAAUCAUUGGGCGUAAAGCGCGUGUAGGCGGCCCGAUAAGUCCGCUGUGAAAGUCCAGGGCUCAACCCUGGAAUGCCGGUGGAUACUGUCGAGCUCGAGUCCGGAAGAGGCGAGUGGAAUUCCUGGUGUAGCGGUGAAAUGCGCAGAUAUCAGGAGGAACACCAAUGGCGAAGGCAGCUCGCUGGGACGGUACUGACGCUGAGACGCGAAAGCGUGGGGAGCAAACAGG